UAUAUUAAAAGAGAAAUAGGAAUGGCUAUUGCCAAAAAACAAAAAAACUAGAGACCCUUGAAACUAAACUGGAAGUAAGAAAGGAAUUGAUAAGAGUGAAGAAGGCUUCACUCUUGUCUCUAUAUAUACUAUCUAAUUAGGGGCUAUGUGGCGACGUUCUAUAGGACCUCCAAUAUGUGUUGACUUUGUAGGACAUAUGCCUUGACUUACAAGGCAAGUUUUUCUAUGUGUAGGCCACAUAGUUAGUUUGAUCUUCAAGCUAACAACAUGUGUGGCACAUGGUCAACUUG
rnacentral:lncRNA from 1 species